AGAAACUGACGAGUCCCAAACAGGACGAAACGCGCGUCCUGGAU
rfam:Schistosoma margrebowiei strain Zambia genome assembly, scaffold: SMRZ_contig0000791